CGUUCCCGGGCCUUGUACACACCGCCCGUCACACCACGAGAGUUUGUAACACCCGAAGUCGGUGGGGUAACCGUAAGGAGCCAGCCGCCUAAGGUGGACAGAUGAUUGGGGUG
rnacentral:rRNA from 1 species